CCUACCUGGUUAAAUAAAGGUGUUCUCAACUAGCCUACCUGGUUAAAUAAAGGUGUUCUCAACUAGCCUACCUGGUUAAAUAAAGGUGCUCUCAACUAGCCUACCUGGUUAAAUAAAGGUGUUCUCAACUAGCCUACCUGGUUAAAUAAAGGUGUUCUCAACUAGCCUACCUGGUUAAAUAAAGGUGUUCUCAACUAGCCUACCUGGUUAAAUAAAGGUGUUCUCAACUAGUCUACCUGGUUAAAUAAAGGUGUUCUCAACUAGCCUACCUGGUUAAAUAAAGGUGUUCUCAACUAGCCUACCUGGUUAAAUAAAGGUGUUCUCGACUAGCCUACCUGGUUAAAUAAAGGUGUUCUCGACUAGCCUACCUGGUUAAAUAAAGGUGUUCUCGACUAGCCUACCUGGUUAAAUAAAGGUGUUCUCGACUAGCCUACCUGGUUAAAUAAAGGUGUUCUCGACUAGCCUACCUGGUUAAAUAAAGGUGUUCUCGACUAGCCUACCUGGUUAAAUAAAGGUGUUCUCAACUAGCCUACCUGGUUAAAUAAAGGUGUUCUCGACUAGCCUACCUGGUUAAAUAAAGGUGUUCUCAACUAGCCUACCUGGUUAAAUAAAGGUGUUCUCGACUAGCCUACCUGGUUAAAUAAAGGUGUUCUCGACUAG